rnacentral:rRNA from 1 species
AUUGAACGCUGGCGGCAGGCCUAACACAUGCAAGUCUAACGAGCGGCGGACGGGUGAGUAAUGUAUGGGAAACUGCCCGAUGGAGGGGGAUAAAUACUGGAAACGGUAGCUAAUACCGCAUACUAUCGGAUGAGACCAGAUGGGAUUAGCUAGUUGGUGGGGUAAGGGCUCACCUAGGCGACGAUCCCUAGCUGGUCUGAGAGGAUGAUCAGCCACACUGGAACUGAGACACGGCCCAGACUCCUACGGGAGGCAGCAGUGGGGAAUAUUGCACAAUGGGCGCAAGCCUGAUGCAGCCAUGCCGCGUGUAUGAAGAAGGCCUUCGGGUUGUAAAGUACUUUCAGCGAGGAGGCGUUACUCGCAGAAGAAGCACCGGCUAACUCCGUGCCAGCAGCCGCGGUAAUUC